GUAGUCCACACUGUAAACGAUGGAUACUUGUUGUUAGAGGUAUUGACCCCUCUAGUGACGCAGCUAACGCGUUAAGUAUCCCGCCUGGGGAGUACGGUCGCAAGAUUAAAACUCAAAGAAAUUGACGGGGGCCCGCACAAGCGGUGGAGCAUGUGGUUUAAUUCGAUGCAACGCGAAGAACCUUACCUAGACUUGACAUGAACUGGAAGUAUGGCAGAAAUGUCUACGCUCGCAAGAGUCGGUUCACAGGUGCUGCAUGGCUGUCGUCAGCUCGUGUCGUGAGAUGUUGGGUUAAGUCCCGCAACGAGCGCAACCCUUACCUUUAGUUGCCAGCAUUUAGUUGGGCACUCUAAAGGGACUGCCUGCGUUAAGCAGGA
rnacentral:rRNA from 1 species